CAAACGUCCCUUGUUUCUUAUAAUUAGCCUUUACCUUCCUUCAACCUUCUCAACUCAACCUUCUUCCAUUUCUGUCGUCACAGCAAUAAGAAAGAAACAUGGGGAGUGAGGCACCAAGUUGGGCUGAUCAGUGGGGAGCAGGAGGGAUUGGUGCUAUGGAAGAUGAUGGCAUGAAAUCUCAAAACGAUACAGCCAAGAACAAGAAAGGCAAGUUUGGUUUUGUUUCCAAAACGAAAACAGCUGCAGUGGGUUGUGUGCAGAAGAUCAGAAGAGGGACUUGUUCUUCUGUCAAAUGGAUCAAACAGAAAUGCCACAGAACAAGGUAGAUUCCAAUGAAUCACAUAUGUAUUUGUGUGGAAUGUUUGUAAAUGUAAUUACAUAACUGGUCUGUUUCAUGAUGCCAACGAUCUGGUGUUCAAAAUGGAUCACUUUUUUGGUGGUCCUUAAGGAACUUUGUUUCGUUUCACUUGUUA